UCCCGAUUCGUUCCCCUCCAUCCGCUCACGACCUAGACUGCUGCUGGCUGCUGCGCCGCCGCGAGAGGGGAGGGCGGCGUCUGCAUCAACUCGUUGUUGCAUCGUCUGCAUCAACUCGUUGUUGCAUCGUCUGCAUCAACUCGCUGUUGCAUCGUCAGGGGAGGGGCUGGGUACGUGCACUGCGGCGGCGUGGGGCGGUUAUGCCGUGCUGGUGCUGGAGGCGGUCAGGCCAGCCGGCCAGCGGCGGGCGGUAGUCGGGGGCUGUGCUUGAGUGAGCGUGAUGGAUUCCGAUGAAGAGGUGGAUUAGAUAGGGAUUGCUGCCGCUGUCGAACUCGAAGAAGCUGAAGCUGAGGCUGCUGCUGCCGAAGAAGCUGAGGCUGCUGCUGCCGAAGAAGCUGCGGCUGUGGCAGGGGAAGCGGCUUUGGCGCACAGAUCAACCAACCAGAAGCGGCCACAUGACUCCGACGACCGACAGGUAUCCUCUUCUAGUCUUCUUGUAUCUUUCCUUUGAUAUGUUAGUUGGAAACUUGGAAUAUUGAAUAGCAAAUAGCCAUGGGUGGUCGACAAGGUAACUAUAUUCAAUGAGGUGCUGGAUAGAAACAUAGUUGAGAUGAAUAAUCGAUUUAGUGAAACUCCUACACGCUUGUUGAAGUGCAUUGCUUGCCUUGAUCCUAGAGACUCAUUUAGCAACUUUGAUCAUGAUAAGCUAGUUGAGCUUGCAAAUAUUUACUCAAUUGAUUUCUCUUCACAAGAGCGCUAUCUGUUGACUGAUCAACUCAACAUAUAUAUUGAUGUGAUGAAAAGAAGUACUGGAUUCUUGGCUUGCGAUAGUUUGAGUUCUCUUGCUCUCAAGUUGGUUCAGAGUAGACAACAUCUGGUAUUUCCAUUGGUUUAUCGGCUCAUCAGACUUGCAUUGACAUUACCGGUGGCAACUGCAUCAGUUGAAAGGGUUUUCUCAGCCAUGAAUAUUAUAAAGACUGAUCUUCAAACAAGAUGGGUGAUGAUUGGCUUAAUGAUUUGAUGGUUUGCUUUGUUGAGCGCGAGAUAUUUGCUGAAAUUAGUGAUAAAGAGAUUAUGGUUCAUUUUCAUGCCUUGAAGAACCGUCGAGGUCAUCUACCUCCAGAACCUCGUGUUCAUUAUGCAAUUACGUCUUAAAGGUCUCAUUUGGAAGUUGGAAUUAUGGGAUCAUAUUGUGGCAUAAGUGAGCAUUUCAAGCGGGCAAGAGUCCAUGUGAGCAGUCAGGAAGCCUCGGCGACUUUUAACAGUGUACUAGUUUUAAAUAGUAUUUUCAUCCUUUUGUUGUUGAAUGCUAUAAGUUCUGGUUGAAUAUAGCUGCAUUUGUAGCGGAAAAAAAUUAAACAUUAAGUGUUCGCCCCCGCUAACUUCAAUUCCUGGGCCCGCCACUGUACGCAUGCGUGUUUCAUUAUUGCUUGUACGGUUUGGGAUUGAGAUUACUUUGUAAGCUGGACUUGCUUGAGUUAAGUUCUAUGUAA